rnacentral:rRNA from 1 species
AUUGAACGCUGGCGGCAUGCCUUACACAUGCAAGUCGAACGGUAACAGGUCUUCGGAUGCUGACGAGUGGCGAACGGGUGAGUAAUGUAUCGGAACGUGCCCAGUUGUGGGGGAUAACUGCUCGAAAGAGCAGCUAAUACCGCAUACGACCUGAGGGUGAAAGCGGGGGAUCGCAAGACCUCGCGCAGUUGGAGCGGCCGAUAUCAGAUUAGGUAGUUGGUGGGGUAAAGGCUCACCAAGCCAACGAUCUGUAGCUGGUCCGAGAGGACGACCAGCCACGCGGGGACUGAGACACGGCCCAGGCUCCUACGGGAGGCAGCAGUGGGGGAUUUUGGACAAUGGGGGCAACCCUGAUCCAGCCAUGCCGCGGGCGGGAAGAAGGCCUUCGGGUUGUAAACCGCUUUUGUCAGGGAAGAAAAGACUCCUGUUAAUACCGGGGGUUCAUGACGGUACCUGAAGAAUAAGCACCGGCUAACUACGUGCCAGCCGCCGCCGUAA